AGGCCAUGCUGAAUUCAGAGUCAGGCUGCUGGGUGAGAUGGGGAAGGGCAGAGGUGUCACCAGGGAGCGGGUGCCUUGUCUGCAGCCAUCAAGAGGCCUGACCAGUCCUCAGAGGAGGCACCUCCCAACCCGCGGCCCAGGGGACGCUCCCUGUGGGGUGAUGCCAAGCUGAGUCUUGAAGGGCGAGGAGGAGCUGGCAGGCGAAGAAGGGUGUGGCCACGUGACUGGGCCUGGUCAAUGACAUGUGAGCAGAAUUGACAACGUUACGUCUGGGUGGAAGCUGUACGUGCCGGUGAGCAAUUCCCCAUGUUUCCUUCCCGCUGUCAGUCACCGACCAUGAGUCAGACGGUGGCUGCUCCGUCUGCCUGCCCUGGAGUGAAGACGUUGUGGAGUGGAGCCCCCGGCCCACCCUCCAGGGACACCUAGCGUAAGAGAG
rnacentral:lncRNA from 1 species